rnacentral:rRNA from 1 species
GAUGAACGCUGGCGGCAUGCCUAACACAUGCAAGUCGGACGGGAAGAGGUGUUUCCAGUGGUGGACGGGUGAGUAACGCGUAAGAACCUGCCCUAGGGAGGGGAACAACAGCUGGAAACGGCUGCUAAUACCCCGUAGUUACAGGAGCAAAAGAUGGAAUCCGCCUGAGGAGGGGCUCGGGUUUGAUUAGUUGGUUGGUUAGGCAAUGGCUUACCAAGGUGAGGAUCAGUAGCUGGUCCGAGCGGAGGAUCCGCCACACUGGGACUGAGACACGGGCCAGACUGGGACGGGGGCACGGCGCGGGGACCAUCGGGAGACGGGAGUAAGGAAGAUUCAGCAAUGCGGGGUGGCUUAACAAGGCAUUGCGGUGUGAAAGUAGAUGUGCUGGGGAUCAAGAGCAGCUUUUCCCGGAGAAGAAGUAAUGACGGUAUCUGGAGAAUAAGCAUCGGCUAACUCUGUG